CCUACGGGGGGCUGCAGUAGGGAAUAUUGGACAAUGGGCGAAAGCCUGAUCCAGCAAUGCCGCGUGAGUGAUGAAGGCCUUAGGGUUGUAAAGCUCUUUUACCCGGGAUGAUAAUGACAGUACCGGGAGAAUAAGCUCCGGCUAACUCCGUGCCAGCAGCCGCGGUAAUACGGAGGGAGCUAGCGUUGUUCGGAAUUACUGGGCGUAAAGCGCACGUAGGCGGCUAUUCAAGUCAGAGGUGAAAGCCCGGGGCUCAACCCCGGAACUGCCUUUGAAACUAGAUAGCUUGAAUCCAGGAGAGGUGAGUGGAAUUCCGAGUGUAGAGGUGAAAUUCGUAGAUAUUCGGAAGAACACCAGUGGCGAAGGCGGCUCACUGGACUGGUAUUGACGCUGAGGUGCGAAAGCGUGGGGAGCAAACAGGAUUAGAUACCCCAGUAGUC
rnacentral:rRNA from 1 species